AAUCACGUCACGGAAAUUUGUGGGAUGAGAAGUCUUGGAUGCAUAAUGCUAAAAGAUUUGGGGGAAUGAGGAGAGCUGUUGGAUGUUUUUUUUUCUUUCAAGUCCAAAAUGGGUUUUAGGGUAUGUUUUAAUGCCUCUUGGGAUGGCUCCGGGGAGCUCCAGCUCCCGGCCAAUCAACAUCCGACAGCCUAUAUGCGCAAGCGAGAAACAAUGCAGCGGCUUCGGCUCCGUUAAUUCCGUGAAAUAUGCUCUCACAGUAAAUGACUAUCUCCCAAGAGCAGCAAGAAAGUGGCUCCGUUGCCAGAGCCAAUGCAAUUGGAAGAAAAUCGGAGCCCGAGCAUUUUGGAGCCUCGCCCUUAGACCUUAGUGACCUUUUGGAGCUGCUAGCGCCCGCCCAUGUCGACUUGUUUUGAUGGGCCAGGCUCGUGUGGCCCGGCCGGCCCAAAUCCCCUCCCUUUGCUUCUCUCUCGCCGGAAUCUUGCGGACUUGCGGUCUUGCGGAGAACCAGAGCGCGCCAAGCCGCCGGCGUUCCCUCCGUCGCGUGGUACUCCACCCACUGCUUCUGGAAAUCUCUGGGCGCGCGUAAGUGAGUUCCACACUAACGCUCCUAGCAGUAAAUCCUAUUUUCUUCCCCCAUGUCCUCUUCUUCUUUUUUUCGCGUGGUAUCGCCAUGAGACGACCUCGAUUAGUUGCUGCCACUUGUUCCCGCCACCAAACUUGCAGAUUGGCGAGCAACUUGCUAAAAACUAGGGUUUCGACGAGUGGGGACGUGGAGGGACUAAAAUUUUGCGUGGAGAGCCAAGACAUUUGGAAAGACAAUUACAUGUUGCAAUUGGAUAACCGCUCCGCCGCUCGACGGGCGGCGUUGGCGUUGCGGCAGUGGGAUAUAUACUCAUGUGCCAGCGCGUAUGGUCGCGCGUCGGCGGCAGGCUCCAGCGGUGCGCGGCGCCCCCAGAAAAGUACAAAGCCUGGAGCAACUUGCGAGGGGAUCGAGAUUCGUUCAAACGAUGCACAAGCACAAGAAUUCCAGGUCCACUCGGUGGAUGCUAACUGUCUCCCUGUGAUAGCACAUGCAAAUAUCUUAUUCUGCUACAGAAGUACGUACGUUGGCUAGUUGCAACCUCUGCAGAAGGUAUGUAAAAUUAUUGAACUGAACUAAUUCGAUGAGCACUUAUUAUUAAUUGCUUGUUUUGGUUUAGUCAGGACUUAGUAUUUCUGGAAGGUCAGCGAUGCCCCUUGUGCUUAUUCUGACUGAUUGAGCGGGUUUUUUGGCAUCAGCCACUCAUUAAAGAACUGCUAGCUUCCUCGUGACAUGAGGUCAGUAUUAUUACAGCUCGCGUCUAGUUCGUUGGUCACCAUACAUACAACUACUGAGUGUGGACAGACGUAACGUAAGGGAAUCAUCCCUCUAUCCAUGUGGACUGCAGACUGGUCGACUGAGCCUUGCAGCUAAUUACUUUCUUAAACUGCUCGUUUUGUUAGUUCACACCCUAGCGCUAAUUAAGCUGUUAUGUUGAUCUACUAAUCGCUGAGACGAGGUACAUAUGUUUUCAUCAGUUACUUGCAUGGAAUGGAAGCUGACAAAUAAUUGCACUGGAGGGUUUACCGAAACAUUAGGGCUGGUUUGGUGACCAGUGAAUUGGAGGGGAUUCAUGGGAAGAAAUCCCCUUGCUAUUUAAAAUUGAAUAACAAGGAGAUUCCUCCCCAUGGAUCUCCUCCAAUUCCCUGAUCACCAAAUCAACCCUUAGUAUGGUCCGCUAUACGAAGUUUUUCCUCAGUGCGUCAACUUUAAUACCUGCUUUGCUUUUUUGUUGUUGUUUCCCAAUAGUAGUUGGAUAUAUGUUUUAAUUUGUCCUUUUAUUUGAAAGGUAUAUAUAUGACCAGACAGCUCAACAGCUAGCUAUAUUGGAGUAGGUCCCUGUCAGCUGACAGAAGGGCGUGAUGUAUGAACCAUAACAGCGCGCUGUAUUGAAUAUACUGCUGGUGGUAUACUAUACAUGAGAAAGAAUCAUCCGAGAUAGUCUAUCAACAUAGAGAUAGGGACCAAGCAAAGCCCUCUCUUCCUCAGCUCAUUGCUCUCACACAGCAGCGCCUUCUCGCUAUUACUUGAACUGUUGAUGGCUUGUUGAUCCCCCACGCCAGUCACCUGCUGUUUUGAACCCACAGCUUCCACGUACUUGGCCUGCAAUGUUUCAAAAAGGUAGAACAGGUGUAAGAGUACAGCAAGGGAGGAAAUAACCACCAUUUUCCAAAAAGUUAGAUGCAAUAAUAAAGGGCUGUGUAGCUAGGUCGAGCAAGCGUACUAUACCAUGAGCUGCAGGUGGUGGGGCAUGUUGGACUCUUUCGCGCCAUCCAUGGCUGCCAUUUGCUUCAAGCCGAAACUCUCCAUGGUAGCCAUCUGCACAAGGAGAGUCCAUUACAACCACGUUACAACUUACAAGACAAGCUAUAUACAUACCGUGCUGUCUGCUGUGCUGUUUGAAAUAAAAUAAGAGGAUGAUCUCUUGCUAACCUUUUGGCCAGCUGCAGAAGAGCAGGCGGUGUCCUGUAGGGACUCGUCGUCGUCGCCGCCGCACAUGAGCUGAGACGUGAUAAAGGAGGAGGCGUCGGCGUCGCCAAAGGAAUCGAAGGAAGAAGAGAAGCUGCCGCCGCCGCCAGAGACCGCCGCUUGCGGAUCAUCCGUCGUUGCGAUGUCGUCUUGCGGCAUGGAGGCCAGGAAGUUCGCGAUGUGCACGGCCCAGCUGCUCUCGCCGCCGGCUGAUGACAUGGUGGACGUGGCCGCCGGGGUGAUGACGCACGAGGAGGAGGCUGAUUUGUUAUCCAUUGUUCUGACCGGUAGUGCCCGGCCGGAAGAAACAGUAGGAGUUGCAGCGGCAGCUCUUGCUAUCGAUCUGUUGUGCUGGUGCUGCUUUGUUUUCCGGAUGGGAAUAUGGGAUGGGAGUGAAGAACGUUCGCUAGAGUCUGUGGAUAUAUAUACAGGUCCUAUUACUCCUAUAGUGGAUGAACCGACUAGUCGGUAGCAGCGGCAGCAGCACAUGAGUAUGUAUAUUUAAACUGUUUGCGAGUAGAAUACAGUUGAGAAA